GUUCGACUGACGAGUCUUGAAUAGGACGAAACGUGCGUCCUAGAU
rfam:Schistosoma margrebowiei strain Zambia genome assembly, scaffold: SMRZ_scaffold0000016